GCCUCCCUCCCGCCGCCCACCUACCACGAACCGUACCCGUACCGGGAACGGGACCCGGGCCGGACGGUAGGGGGUAAGGUUUUAGGUUCGGUCGAACGUACGGGGGAAAACCCGGUAACCGGAACCGGACCGAACGGACCGAAACCGGACCCGGCCGGUCGGGAGGGAGUGAAGUCCUUGGAGUGUAAACUACCUUUCGUAUCGGACGAUUAUGACGGUACCGGAAGAAGAAGCACCGGCUAACUCUGUGCCAGCAGCCGCGGUAAUC
rnacentral:rRNA from 1 species